GACGAACGCUGGCGGCGUGCUUAACACAUGCAAGUCGAACGGUAAGGCCCUUCGGGGUACACGAGUGGCGAACGGGUGAGUAACACGUGGGUGAUCUGCCCUGCACUUCGGGAUAAGCCUGGGAAACUGGGUCUAAUACCGGAUAGGACCAUUGCCUGCAUGGGUGGCGGUGGAAAGCUUUUGCGGUGUGGGAUGGGCCCGCGGCCUAUCAGCUUGUUGGUGGGGUGAUGGCCUACCAAGGCGACGACGGGUAGCCGGCCUGAGAGGGUGACCGGCCACACUGGGACUGAGAUACGGCCCAGACUCCUACGGGAGGCAGCAGUGGGGAAUAUUGCACAAUGGGCGCAAGCCUGAUGCAGCGACGCCGCGUGAGGGAUGACGGCCUUCGGGUUGUAAACCUCUUUCAGCACCGACGAAGCGCAAGUGACGGUAGGUGCAGAAGAAGGACCGGCCAACUACGUGCCAGCAGCCGCCGUAA
rnacentral:rRNA from 1 species